AUCCUUUGCAGUUCGUAAGCAUGAUGAUCGGGUUUUCACAUGCCUGCGUACAACGCGUCUCCCACAAACCUUCUUACAACAUGGGCACAUUAACUGUCUACCU
ensembl:snoRNA